rnacentral:rRNA from 1 species
AUACAGAGGGGGCAAGCGUUGUUCGGAAUUACUGGGCGUAAAGGGCGCGUAGGCGGCCUGCUAAGUCGGACGUGAAAUCCCUCGGCUCAACCGGGGAACUGCGUCCGAUACUGGUGGGCUUGAGUUCGGGAGAGGAAUGUGGAAUUCCAGGUGUAGCGGUGAAAUGCGUAGAUAUCUGGAGGAACACCGGUGGCGAAGGCGGCAUUCUGGACCGACACUGACGCUGAGGCGCGAAAGCCAGGGGAGCAAACGGGAUUAGAUACCCCGGUAGUCCUGGCCCUAAACGAUGAGUGCUUGGUGUGGCGGGUAUCGAUCCCUGCCGUGCCGAAGCUAACGCAUUAAGCACUCCGCCUGGGGAGUACGGUCGCAAGGCUGAA